rnacentral:lncRNA from 1 species
CAGCUCUGUCAAACGCUGCUGCUGGGUGGAGCUCCCUGAAGACAGAGAGUGAACCCUUGGUUUUCGCCAUGUAGAGGUCUGCUGUGCUGAGACUCAUGGCAAACCCCAGGAGCCACCUAUGAUGUGCCAGACACAUAAGCCCCUCCCUCACAGGCGUGGGUGCAGCCGGGGCCGACCGCAUUCCAAGGAGCAUUUCCUCUGAAAGCCAGGCCAAGUGCCCGCUCUCCAGCGAUUUUGGUCUAGGCAACAUCAGAUGAAAACGAACACUAAGGGCAAUCCUGAAGAACCAAAAGAAACUGGCAAUGGACAGGUAUAAAAGUGUGUGUGCGCGUACCUGUGUGUGCGCGCGCAUCUGUGUGUGUGCGCGCACCUGUGUGCUUGCACCUGUGUGUGUGCGCGUACCUGUGUGUGCCCGUGUGUGCGCGCACCUGUGUGUGUGUGUGCACGUGCUGACAUUCAAGGCAACAGCAGGGCUUCUUUACUACUAAUCAACCUUUUUCUUCUCUGUUGGCCAUGCACUUCCGUAUGGCUCAGCAAACGUGCAAAGGAAGGAAUAGUGGGAGUUGGAG